rnacentral:rRNA from 1 species
GACGAACGCUGGCGGCGUGCUUAACACAUGCAAGUCGAACGGAAAGGCCCUGCUUUUGUGGGGUGCUCGAGUGGCGAACGGGUGAGUAACACGUGAGUAACCUGCCCUUGACUUUGGGAUAACUUCAGGAAACUGGGGCUAAUACCGGAUAGGAGCUCCUGCUGCAUGGUGGGGGUUGGAAAGUUUCGGCGGUUGGGGAUGGACGCGCGGCUUAUCAGCUUGUUGGUGGGGGAGUGGCUUACCAAGGCUUUGACGGGUAGCCGGCCUGAGAGGGUGACCGGCCACAUUGGGACUGAGAGACGGACCAGACUGCUACGGGAGGCAGCAGUGGGGAAUAUUGCACAAUGGGCGGAAGCCUGAUGCAGCAACGCCGCGUGCGGGAUGACGGCCUUCGGGUUGUAAACCGCUUUCGCCUGUGACGAAGCGUGAGUGACGGUAAUGGGUAAAGAAGCACCGGCUAACUACGUG